CCUACGUGAGGCAGCAGUGAGGAAUAUUGGUCAAUGGGCGCGAGCCUGAACCAGCCAAGUAGCGUGAAGGAUGACUGCCCUACGGGUUGUAAACUUCUUUUAUAAAGGAAUAAAGUGAGGCACGUGUGCCUUUUUGUAUGUACUUUAUGAAUAAGGAUCGGCUAACGACGUGCCAGCAGCCGCGGUAAUACGGAGGAUCCGAGCGUUAUCCGGAUUUAUUGGGUUUAAAGGGAGCGUAGAUGGGUUGUUAAGUCAGUUGUGAAAGUUUGCGGCUCAACCGUAAAAUUGCAAUUGAUACUGGCAGUCUUGAGUACAGUUGAGGUAGGCGGAAUUCGUGGUGUAGCGGUGAAAUGCUUAGAUAUCACGAAGAACUCCGAUUGCGAAGGCAGCUUACUAAACUGCCACUGACAUUGAUGCUCGAAAGUGUGGGUAUCAAACAGGAUUAGAUACCCCUGUAGUC
rnacentral:rRNA from 1 species